UAAACACAGUAUCGACGUUCUUGGGU
rnacentral:sRNA from 1 species